rnacentral:rRNA from 1 species
UGGGGAAUAUUGGACAAUGGGCGAAAGCGAUCCACAUGCCGCGUGUGUGAAGAAGGCCUUUUGGUUGUAAAGCACUUUAAGUGGGGAGGAAAAGCUUAUGGUUAAUACCCAUAAGCCCUGACGUUACCCACAGAAUAAGCACCGGCUAACUCUGUGCCAGCAGCCGCGGUAAUACAGAGGGUGCAAGCGUUAAUCGGAAUUACUGGGCGUAAAGCGCGCGUAGGUGGUUAUUUAAGUCAGAUGUGAAAGCCCCGGGCUUAACCUGGGAACUGCAUCUGAUACUGGAUAACUAGAGUAGGUGAGAGGGGAGUAGAAUUCCAGGUGUAGCGGUGAAAUGCGUAGAGAUCUGGAGGAAUACCGAUGGCGAAGGCAGCUCCCUGGCAUCAUACUGACACUGAGGUGCGAAAGCGUGGGUAGCAAACAGGAUUAGAUACCCUGGUAGUCCACGCCGUAAACGAUGUCUACCAGUCGUUGGGUCUUUUAAAGACUUAGUGACGCAGUUAACGCAAUAAGUAGACCGCCUGGGGAGUACGGCCGCAAGGUUA